UUCCUGGUCUCUCUCAUCUUUCCAUUUCCACAUCCUGUGCUCUGUUCCGUUGAACGGCACUGGGUGUCUAGAUGCCAACAAAACCUGAUGGGUCCACAGGAAUGGUGAUCGAGUUUAACUAUAAUCAUGUGUGGAGCACCGGGUGUCACCGAGGAAGACACAGCUCCGUGCAAUUGCUGGGGACCCAACUCCACAGUCACACGUUUCACAUCCAGGAAGAAGGCUGGAAAGACCACCCCAACCUUGGAAAGCUACUGAUUUCCACCAUGCUUUGCCAGCCAUACUGUGUUCUGUGCAUUUCUAAUGAUGUGCGGUGAAUUGUUUCCUCUGCUGAACUCAGAACUGCAAUUGUAGCAGGUUGGCACCCUUCCAGCGCAGUCCGUGAGCUUCUACAUAAGCAUUCACAUCAUCUGUGAAGACCAUCACUUCUCCAACUCACGUCUUUCUCAUUUCUUUUUCUCUGGCCUAGGCACUCACCCACACCCACGUUAAAUAAAGGUGUGAUGGGACAUCA